AACCAGAGUUGUAGUUUUGCCACUAAAGUAUGUUGAAGAGAGGAGCAAAGGAGUCAAGAGUGUUUGCAGGAGUUUCGUAUAGAUUAACCACAAAAUGUAGGCUGGGUAGGGAGAAAAGCACAAAUAUCAAGAGGGUGAAGGGUAGUGACACGUUGUAAGAUCAAUAUACAGAAAAUCCCAGUGAGGGUAAAGCUUUGUUAGGCUAGUGAUAUAAAAUGGAGAUAGCUGUUAAAAUAGGAAGGUUUUAUUGAGUCUAUGUCCAUGAGAACAAAUAACCAAGGUAGCACCAAGAACGAGCUCUUUCAAAAAGAGGAGUUCUGGAACUCUGAAGGUCAAGAUGUUAAAAGGGUCAUCUAAAAACAUAUUAAAAAUUGUGAGGGGGCUGGGCACGGUGGCUCACACAUAUAAUCCCAGCACUUUGGGAUGUCGAGGUGGGCAGAUCAUGAGGUCAAGAAAUCGAGACAAUUCUGGCCAACAUGGUGAAAGCCCGUCUCUACUAAAAAUACAAACAUUAGCUGGGCGUGGUCACACUUGCCUGUAGUCCCAGCUACUCAGGAGUCUGAGGCAGGAGAAUCGGUUGAACCCGGGAGGCAGAGGUUGCAGUGCGCUGAGAUCGCGCCACUGCACUCCAGCCUGGCGGCAGAGCAAGACUCCAUCUCAAAAAAAAAAAAAAAAAAAAAAAAAAUUGUGAGGAAUUAAGUCCAUGUAAAACUUGAGAUAAUGGGCCAUGAGCUAAAAUUGUCUUAAAAUAUAGGGCAAUAAGCCAGUCAUUGGAAGAAAACAGCAACAUGACAACAUGAGAUUAGAGCUGGGGAUUUUCGGGGAGGAGAAAGAAAGAACGGCCAGAAAAUGAAAUGAAGGAAUAGUUAGUUAGUAGGCGUUCUACCUCCCUUUAAGCUCAGUGGUAAUGAGAAUUGUAGGGAGAACAUGACCACCUCUGGAGAGAUCUGCAGGGGAGGCAGUUUUUUCAGGUGGGAGGAACAAGAGUGUGCAUCACAGUCUAGAUGGAUGUUGGGACCUAGAUUAGCUUCCUGUGGCUGCCCACCCAGAGUCCACAAACUGAGUUGCUUUAAACAAUGCAAAUGGCGCUUGUUUCCACAGCACAAAUGCUAAAAUUGGAAUGACACAAAGAAGAUUAGCAUGGCCCCUGCACAUGGAUGACAUGCAAAUUCAUGAGGCAUUUCAGAUUUUAAAAGAAUGCAAAUGUAUCCUCACAGUUCUGGAGGCAGGAAGUCUGAGAUCAGGGUGUUGGUAGGGCCAUGUGCUCUCUGAAGGCUGUAGAGGUAGAUCAUUGCUCACUUCUCUCCUCACUUCUGAUGGUUUCCAGCUUCUUGCUGUCCUUGACUUGAAGAUGCUUCUCUCCAGUCUUUGCCUCUGUUAUCACAUGACAUUCUUCCUGUGUCUCUUCUCCUUUUCUAAUAAGGACACUAGUCAUAUUCAACUUAUGGCCCACUCUACUUCAUUACGAACUCAUCUUAUCUUGAUUAUAUCUGCAAAGAUGUUGUUUCAAAAUAAGGCCAAUUCACAGGUACUGGGGCUAGGACUUGAACUUAUCUUCUUUUGAGGAGUACAGUUCACUCCACAACAGGAUUAGGAGUGAAUUUCAAGCCCAGUAGGAACAGUCUCACAGUGAACAGAGAAAAUCUUCCCAACUCUUCAUUUCCUGUGUUACUGGUUUCAAGGUAUCCAUUUCUCCUGGUACUCUCUCAUUCAACAUAUGAGCAUCUCAGUGCCAAGAGCUGAAAGUGGCUCAGAGAAAAGAAAGUGCAAGGUGCUGCCCCCACAGACUCUGCCCAGGAGGUCUCAUUCUUCUUCAUGGACUUUGAGUGAGACCUGCUGCCUCUGGGACUCCCUGUCCCUGGAACCUCUCUUGUUCUUCCCUCAUUGUGUAUUUUCUACA
rnacentral:lncRNA from 1 species